AUAGGACCCAGGUGUCCCAGCUACCAGGCUGGCUCUGUUUCUGCCGCUGCACCCUGCUUACUACAAGUGUGGCAGCAAUGUCCUCGGGGCUCGGACUGUGCCCACAAACCUGCCACAUGACCCAGAGGAGGUCACCUUACUGCUGGAAUAGAAGAGACACAAGAGAGGUGCCCUCUGUCUCCACCACAAGAAGAUGGCUGUCUGCAAACCAGGAGGAGCCUUCACCAGAUGUCAGACCUGCUGGCACCUUGAGCUUGGACUUCCGGGCCUCGAGAACUGUGAAAAUCAAAGUCUAUGAUACUCCGUUAUAGGGGCCCAGACCAUUAACACACCGGCAGUACACCAGGAGGCGCAAUUUAUUGACGUGAAUAAAUUGAAUAAGGGGCAGGCCCGAGAGGGCGGGACAAAAGGCACCCGCUUCCUGGAGGACCCAGAAACAGUCGGCCACAGCAGGCGUUUCCAGGCCCGGUGCCCAUCCCCCACCCCCCACCCUGGCCAGCAGGCAGGCCCCUGCUCAGAACCGGGAUGCAUCUUGGUUCAAGGCCGUGUUUCUCUGAGCGUCCGUCUGUUCCCAUCACUUCACAUCGUUGUCUCUGACCCUUGCACCGGGCGGUUAUCACUAUCCCCAGUCUGCAGACUCCAGCCAGUCCUGGGUGCAGUGAGAUCUGAACGGCCAGGUCCUACCGGCUCCCCACGGCUCGAGCUCCUCCUUCAGACUGAGGGUCUUGGGUGGGGGGUCUGCUGGGAGGGCUGAGCCCCGAACGCUGGAGGACAGAACAGGAAAAUGAAGACAUGAGGACACCCGCUAGCUCAGUGUCCUGAAUCGGAGGUCCCGAACAGUAUUCCCGGGGCCUCCCCGCCCCCCCACCCCCCCGCACCUGGGAUCGGAUGCCAACGUGUUCUGCCACCGACCACGCAGCACAUGGCUUGAAAGCAGGGUGCUGGGGCCAGGCCAACGUUUGCCUUUUCCUACACGUCUCGGCAAAGCUGCUCAAAACCCUCUCUUCCCCCAGCAGGAAAAGCAUAUGUUCUUUCCAUAUAGAGGAGAAAUUGUUCCACGAGUGAGUAAGUCUCUUGGCCGUGGAGCCCGGCCCAGCCCGCAGCACGCCGGGCAGGAAGCGGGCAGCGUUCUUACCACCCUUGGAACCAGACCGGGCUGGAUCCUCACCCUGGAAGACAGCGGGCCUUUGGACGGGGCCGGGGGUGGUGGGGAGCGGGGGCUGGGCGAGUGCCCGAAGACAGCUAGCCGGCCAGGGCAGGGCAGAGAAUCCUUUCCCUGAAUAGAAGCGCUUUUCUCCAUUCAGGCCGGGCGGGCGAAGGAGGGAGGGAAGGCCGAGGGGUGUGAGAGGCGAAAGAGACCUUUCCAAUCCCCUCACCCCAGCAGCAAACGGGCCUGAGUCAGAGGUGACUCAGGUACGUGCAGUGAGACAGGGCCAUUUUUAGACCGUCAUUUCCAGCCACCCCCAAAUUCUCCUCGAUGCCUCGGGGUUGGGUGGCAAAAAGGGACCCCAUCCUCAGUGCCUCAGUUCAUUCUGCCGGAUCCGUGUGAACAUACAGGUCUUCCCCAAGCCAGCCCCGGGCCGGGGGAUGCGGCUUGCACCCUUGUCUCAGGGAGUCCUGGUUCCCUUCCCACCCUUUCCCCACUUGCUAAGAAUCGCCGACUGGGGGGUUGCGGGGAGUGGGCAGGGAAGGGACAGACAGGCCGGGCGAUGGGCAGGUGGUGGGACAGAGGGGAAAUGGGAGGGGCCCCACAGAGGGGGGAAAACGCCGAUGACAUUGGGGCAUCUAACCUGGAACGUCAAAGACUCGGGCUAGGGGCGCCUGGCUGGCUCCGUGGGUUGAGCGUCCAACUCUUGGUUUCAGCUCAGAUCACGAUCUCACAGUUUUUGAGUUCGAGCCCCGCUGCAGGUUCUGCACUGACGGCGUGGAUCCUGCUUGGGAUUCUCUCUCUCUGCCCCUCCCCCGCCUUCGCUCACAUUCUCUCUCUCUCUCUCUCUCUCUAAUAACUAAGCUUAAAAGACUCAGGGUAGCAGAAGUGAGAGACGUGAAAAUGAUGUAAAGGUAGGAGACGGGUGACCCCGUGGAAGUGGCAUGGGAUUUAUCCUGGCUGGGAACUUCGAUGGGGCAAAAGCCCUGAGCAUAUAAAUCAGGGCCCCAACCCACUGAGCAGUGCUUUCAAGGCAGCGCAUUCUCGGGGCACCUGGGUGGCUCAGUCGCUUACGCAUCCGACUUUCGCUCAGGUUGUGAUUUCACCGUUUGUGAGUUCGAGCCCUGCACCAAGCCCUCUGCUGUCAGCACGGAGCCCUCUUUGGAUCCUCUGUUCCCCCCUCCCCAGCCCCCACUCUCUGCAUCUCCCCUGCUCACUCUCUUUCUCUCAAAAAAUAAACAAAUGAACGCUGGUGUUCAUUUAGGUCUCACACUGGUGGCCUGGGGGCCAGACACAGCCCUGAAGAUGUUUCCACCGGUCGGCAUUUCUGCACGGCCACCAGCAGCUGAGUCCACACAAUCAACGCGCGGCCCGUGCUGCAGGGCACGUCAGGCCUGAGUCCCUCCUUUGUUUCCUGGACUGGUCCCUUAGGCGUUUACGACUGGGAGCUUUGGAGCACCUGCCCACACUGUCCCUUCUUCUCCUCUAGCUCACCCUGUAGGCCCACCUGGGGCGGGAGGAGCCGGGCUCAGGUGAGACCACAUGUCCUGAGCCGCCCUGGCCCGGACGCCAGGUAGAGCGCUCCCCUGGCGAGAGACCAGCACCCCUGCAAACUCCCCUGCCCUCUCCUCUCCUGGAGCUGUCAUUACGCCGGGCUCUAUCAUGGUCUCUGGGGACUGGACAGUAGCUUGACUCACCUGACCAUCCUGCCCUGGAGCAGAGACAGUUCCCCAGGGUGUUUAGGGUCUGGGAAGGGCACCCGGGGGCAGAUGCACCGUGAGCUGAGAUAGAAGGGACAAAGUAAGAACGGGCACGCCCGACCCCCGGUCCAGGAGGGCAGCGCUAGGGGCGGAUGCCAGCGGCAGUGGGUCUGAAGGAAGCUGGGGCAGGGCUGGGGAGUGGAAACCAGCCGGGGGAGUAAAGUGGGGCGGCUAAAGGGCUCAGGAAGGAGGGAGCAGAAGGCAAGGCCCAGCUCCACCUUCCACCUUCUGCCUGUGUGUCUGGGGUGGACCCUGACUUGUACCUGCCGGAACCGAGGGCAGAAGGGCAGGCGGCAGUGGCCUCGCUGGGCGACGAGAUUCCACCCGAAGCCUGUAUAGGCUGCGGCAGAUUGCAGGGCGGUUUCACUUCCCCGGCCCUAUCUGCUCCCGCGGAUAGCUACGGGCGUUGGGACUAACAUACCCAUUUUACAGAUGAGGAGACUGAGGCGAAGUUGUGCGAGGAAGAGUCUAGCCCCCGGGUAAGAGCAGGGCUCCUGCUUUCACCAGCUCUGCUUUCUGAGUUGCUUGUCCAGGCCACUGGGAGCGGACGACACAACUCCUCGCAAAGCAGCCACGCAGCAGGCAUUAGCUCCUCCUCCUCCACGUUUCACAGCCUCAUCGAGUGACACUGACAUUUGCAGGCAAGAACUCCAGCUGUGCUGGGACCCAGGUAGGUCGGGAGUUCAGAGGCGGGCCUUUAUUUUACUGACAAUAGGUAGUUCACAGGUCCUCACCCCGCUCCGGCCUGGUGCUGGGCACCCUGCGAAUGAGGUCUCAACCCCCUUCUUGGCCCACCUGGUGGGACGGCUGCUCUCUCAGGGGUGAGACCCGCAAGCCAAGUCAGCCUGACUCUGAAGCUGGUGCUCUCUGGAGGACCACCUCGGAGUCUCCCGUGUGACUGUGUCGCUCCCCCCGGGGAACUGGCUGUACGGAAGAUGGGGGCUCCUGAGUGGGGCCAGAGCCCAAGGCACACGCCCCCUCUGGGGUCCUGACCCUCCCCUCGGCGUCCGCCUGGGAGGUAGGGUGGGCACCUCCCCACGGGGGGCAUCCUAGCAGCACAGCCGGAAGCGGGAAGCUGGGUACGGAUUUCCCUGGGGAGUGCCGCUGCUCUGGGAGUCCUGGUUCACCCCUCCUUCCAAGGAGGCCUGAAGGCGUGGAAGGGACCUUGACCUGGGAGUCCGAGAGCCCAGGCUCACCUUCUAGGCCAGGCUGCUUCACCGUCCCAGCCCCUCUCUGAGCCUCAGCUCAGGGGCUAAGUGAGGGCGGCCUAAAGGGUCACCGUUGCAGCCCCCUAACCAUUUUUAAAGACAGCCCCUCACACUUCUUGCCCAAGUGUUC